rnacentral:ncRNA from 1 species
ACUAUCCUUGUUUCGGGGUAGCGCUACUGGCCAAUGAACAAACAAUGAGGGCAGUACUGCUAACACCUGCACAACACACCUGCAUCAACUGAGCUUUGCUUUACUUUGGUGCAAUUUUUGGAAAA